rnacentral:rRNA from 1 species
AGUGGGGAAUAUUGGACAAUGGGCGAAAGCCUGAUCCAGCCAUGCCGCGUGUGUGAAGAAGGUCUUCGGAUUGUAAAGCACUUUAAGUUGGGAGGAAGGGCAUUAAUCUAAUACGUUAGUGUUUUGACGUUACCGACAGAAUAAGCACCGGCUAACUUCGUGCCAGCAGCCGCGGUAAUACGAAGGGUGCAAGCGUUAAUCGGAAUUACUGGGCGUAAAGCGCGCGUAGGUGGUUUGUUAAGUUGAAUGUGAAAGCCCCGGGCUCAACCUGGGAACUGCAUCCAAAACUGGCAAGCUAGAGUAUGGCAGAGGGUGGUGGAAUUUCCUGUGUAGCGGUGAAAUGCGUAGAUAUAGGAAGGAACACCAGUGGCGAAGGCGACCACCUGGGCUAAUACUGACACUGAGGUGCGAAAGCGUGGGGGGCAAACAGGAUUAGAUACCCUGGUAGUCCACGCCGUAAACGAUGUCGACUAGCCGUUGGGAUCCUUGAGAUCUUAGUGGCGCAGCUAACGCAUUAAGUCGACCGCCUGGGGAGUACGGCCGCAAGGUUAAAACUCAAAUGAAUUGACGGGGGCCCGCACAAGCGGUGGAGCAUGUGGUUUAAUUCGAAGCAACGCGAAGAACCUUACCAGGCCUUGACAUGCAGAGAACUUUCCAGAGAUGGAUUGGUGCCUUCGGGAGCUCUGACACAGGUGCUGCAUGGCUGUCGUCAGCUCGUGUCGUGAGAUGUUGGGUUAAGUCCCGUAACGAGCGCAACCCUUGUCCUUAGUUACCAGCACAUAAUGGUGGGCACUCUAAGGAGACUGCCGGUGACAAACCGGAGGAAGGUGGGGAUGACGUCAAGUCAUCAUGGCCCUUACGGCCUGGGCUACACACGUGCUACAAUGGUCGGUACAAAGGGUUGCCAAGCCGCGAGGUGGAGCUAAUCCCAUAAAACCGAUCGUAGUCCGGAUCGCAGUCUGCAACUCGACUGCGUGAAGUCGGAAUCGCUAGUAAUCGUGAAUCAGAAUGUCACGGUGAAUACGUUCCCGGGCCUUGUACACACCGCCCGUCACACCAUGGGAGUGGGUUGCUCCAGAAGUAGCUAGUCUAACCUUCGGGAGGACGGUUACCACGGAGUGAUUCAUGACUGGGGUG